rnacentral:rRNA from 1 species
UAAGCAACCUGCCCUCUAGAUGGGGACAACAGCUGGAAACGGCUGCUAAUACCGAAUACGUUUUUUCUGUCGCAUGGCAGAGAGAAGAAAGGGAGGCUCUUCGGAGCUUUCGCUGGAGGAGGGGCUUGCGUCUGAUUAGCUAGUUGGAGGGGUAACGGCCCACCAAGGCGACGAUCAGUAGCCGGUCUGAGAGGAUGAACGGCCACAUUGGGACUGAGACACGGCCCAGACUCCUACGGGAGGCAGCAGUGGGGAAUCUUCCGCAAUGGACGAAAGUCUGACGGAGCAACGCCGCGUGAACGAUGACGGCCUUCGGGUUGUAAAGUUCUGUUAUACGGGACGAAUGGUACGACGGUCAAUACCCGUCGUAAGUGACGGUACCGUAAGAGAAAGCCACGGCUAACUACGUGCCAGCAGCCGCGGUAAUACGUAGGUGGCAAGCGUUGUCCGGAAUUAUUGGGCGUAAAGGGCGCGCAGGCGGCGUCGUAAGUCGGUCUUAAAAGUGCGGGGCUUAACCCCGUGAGGGGACCGAAACUGCGAUGCUAGAGUAUCGGAGAGGAAAGCGGAAUUCCUAGUGUAGCGGUGAAAUGCGUAGAUAUUAGGAGGAACACCAGUGGCGAAAGCGGCUUUCUGGACGACAACU